AGGAGAGUCACCAUGAUAGUUCUCUGCUUUGUGCUGCCAGUUUUGAAGAUUUCACAGAUAUGUUUCAGAGCAUAGAUGCCACAUUGACCCGUCAACAACCUGCCGUGACAGUCAUUCCGUCAGCCAGAAAGAGUCUCCUUCCCUCUUCUACAGUACCGAAUUAAGCGUUUGCUCUGCACUUAGAGGUGAUUUUCUCCAGGGAGUAUUCCUCCUCCAAGGCGGGAUGAGCGUAUUUGCAUGCCACUACGGUCGGACGCCAAUUGGGUUAUUGACCUAGUGACUUCGACUUCGGCCAGGCCAAGUGACUCAGACUUCGGCCAGAGGUAGAGUCCACGCUGACUGGACAGGACUGUGAAGAGCCAAGUAUUUUAUAUUCUUGAAAGCCAUGCUGGUUCAUCUAGAAAUACAAUCCCGGGUUCAACCAGAA